CUUUAACAAACACAGCUUAUAAUGACGCGAAGACCAGCUUUGAAGUUAGAAUUCUCAGCUCCCUGGAGCUCCACACGGAAUCCUGGUGAGGAGAGAAGACCUAGAACAACCCUGCCUCCUCUCCCAUCUCCCACCUGUGAAGCGCACCGUGACGCCUCUAGCGAACAGAACUGACAAUCACUACAUUUCUAUGAAGAGCAUAAAGGAAAAUUAAAGGAUAGAACUAAAUUAAGAGAAGCUGCUUGGCUGGAGCGGGCAGGGAAGACCCCUCUACCCCUCUACCCCCAGGAGCCGAGUUCAGAACCCAGGCUUGUGCAGAGCUGGCCAAGAGGAGAAGAGCAGUGAAGGAGGGAACGAAAGCAUCUCGGAGCAGGAACUUCCCAGCAGGACCCGGGAAUAGAGAGGAUGCUGCCCAGGUGGAGUCCGGGAUCUGGCAAGAGCCGCAACUCCAAGGAUUUGAAAUCUUUUUGUCCGUGUGUGCAAACCUGUCUUUGUAUUUUAUUCCUUUAAAAAUUGCAGAAAGAUAUUUAAAUAAACAGGGCCCCAGG
rnacentral:lncRNA from 1 species